GCCAGUGUGGUGUAGUGGUUUGUGCAUUGGACUAAGACUCUGGAGAGCAGAGUUCGAAUCCCUGCUCAGCCA